rnacentral:rRNA from 1 species
GGAAUAUUGCACAAUGGGCGCAAGCCUGAUGCAGCGACGCCGCGUGGGGGAUGAAGGCCUUCGGGUUGUAAACCCCUUUCAGCAGGGAAGAAGCGAAAGUGACGGUACCUGCAGAAGAAGCGCCGGCUAACUACGUGCCAGCAGCCGCGGUAAUACGUAGGGCGCAAGCGUUGUCCGGAAUUAUUGGGCGUAAAGAGCUCGUAGGCGGUUUGUCGCGUCUGCUGUGAAAACCCGAGGCUCAACCUCGGGCCUGCAGUGGGUACGGGCAGACUAGAGUGCGGUAGGGGAGACUGGAAUUCCUGGUGUAGCGGUGGAAUGCGCAGAUAUCAGGAGGAACACCGAUGGCGAAGGCAGGUCUCUGGGCCGCAACUGACGCUGAGGAGCGAAAGCAUGGGGAGCGAACAGG